AUAAUGUCCGACUUUCAAAAGCUAAGUGAACCUUUCAUAUGCAUUUGAGAGCGUAGCCGAAAUACUUUCCAUCGGCUAAAGGGUACAGCAGGAAACGGCUGUGCCUUCCGUGUUUGAAAAGGAGUAAUUAUCA
rnacentral:ncRNA from 1 species